rnacentral:rRNA from 1 species
CCCUUAGAUGUCCUGGGCUGCACGCGCGCUACACUGAUUUGUCCAGUAAGCACCUAACCUCUUCCGAAAGGAACGGGUAACCUUUGCAAAGCACAUCGUGAUGGGGAUAGAUUAUUGCAAUUAUUAGUCUUGAACGAGGAAUUCCUAGUAAGCACAAGUCAUCAGCUUGUGUUGAUUACGUCCCUGCCCUUUGUACACACCGCCCGUCGCUCCUACCGAUUGAAUGUUCCGGUGAGCUCUUCGGACUGCGCGGUCUGCAGUUUCUGCGUUCCGUGCGGAAAGUUGCGCAAACCUUAACAUUUAGAGGAAGGAGAAGUCGUAACA